GUACCUGGAAACAUCAAGGGAGACAGCUGCUGCCUGAAUACUCAACUGUACAAAUACUGGAUUCAAACAAAAGAUAGCAUCACACAGACAGAGGGAAAGUUAGAAGUUUUCCAUCUGUUGGUUCACUCUCCAAUUAGCCACACAAUGGUGGCAGGCACAGGAAGAAUCCAGAAUCCUGAAUAUUGCCUUCAACAGUGGAAGGGGCCUAUGCAUUUAGGGCCCUAUUACCACCAAGGGGGUGAGGCAAUGGUGUUCCUCAGCAAGAACCACCAGGGGCAGUGUGGUCAAGCAUGUCUGUUUAUUGCAAACCAUGCAUACUCCUUUACACCCCAAGAAAAGAGGAAGCUAAAGAGCUAUCUCCUGAAGAUCCCCUCAACCAACAACAGCACUGCAAAAAGAUAGAAGGCUGUGCUCUCUUGACUCUCC